AUUGAACGCUGGCGGCAGGCUUAACACAUGCAAGUCGAGCGGAGAUGAGGUGCUUGCACCUUAUCUUAGCGGCGGACGGGUGAGUAAUGCUUAGGAAUCUGCCUAUUAGUGGGGGACAACAUUCCGAAAGGAAUGCUAAUACCGCAUACGUCCUACGGGAGAAAGCAGGGGAUCUUCGGACCUUGCGCUAAUAGAGGAGCCUAAGUCGGAUUAGCUAGCUGGUGGGGUAAAGGCCUACCAAGGCGACGAUCUGUAGCGGGUCUGAGAGGAUGAUCCGCCACACUGGGACUGAGACACGGCCCAGACUCCUACGGGAGGCAGCAGUGGGGAAUAUUGGACAAUGGGGGGAACCCUGAUCCAGCCAUGCCGCGUGUGUGAAGAAGGCCUUAUGGUUGUAAAGCACUUUAAGCGAGGAGGAGGCUACUGAGACUAAUACUCUUGGAUAGUGGACGUUACUCGCAGAAUAAGCACCGGCUAACUCUGUGCCAGCCGCCGCCGUAAAAC
rnacentral:rRNA from 1 species